rnacentral:rRNA from 1 species
UACGUAGGGACCAAGCGUUGUUCGGAUUUACUGGGCGUAAAGGGCGCGUAGGCGGCUUGUCAAGUCACUUGUGAAAUCUCUGGGCUUAACCCAGAACGGCCAAGUGAAACUGACAUGCUAGAGUGCAGAAGGGGCAAUCGGAAUUCUUGGUGUAGCGGUGAAAUGCGUAGAUAUCAAGAGGAACACCUGAGGUGAAGACGGGUUGCUGGGCUGACACUGACGCUGAGACGCGAAAGCGUGGGGAGCAAACAGG